GGCCCAAGGAGCGCGCGGCCAUGGAGGCCCGAGGGGACCCAGCCGCCGCCCCCGGCCCGGCCCGCGCCCCCGCCCAAGUGUCUGUCAUCCUCCCAGUCCACAAUGCUGAACCGUGGUUGGACGAAUGCCUCAGGUCUGUUCUGCAGCAGGACUUCGAAGGCUCCUUGGAGCUCUCCAUUUUCAAUGAUGCCAGUAAGGACAAGUCCAUGACUAUCAUUGAAAGAUGGAAAGAGGAGCUAGAGGGUUCCGGCAUCCUCGUGGUCAUUGGAGGGCACGACUCUCCUUCCCCCCGAGGAGUCGGAUAUUCUAAAAAUCAAGCAGUAGCACAGAGCUCGGGGUCUUACCUCUGCUUCUUGGAUUCGGACGACGCGAUGAUGCCGCAGAGGGUGAGGCUGCAACACGAGGCUGCUGUGCGACACCCGACAAGUAUCAUAGGCUGCCAGGUGAGGAGGGAGCCCCCUAGCUCCACCGAGCGGUACACACGUUGGCUCAACCAGCUGGCAUCCGACCAGCUGCUCAUCCAGGUGUUCACCUCCAACGGCCCCACCGUGAUCAUGCCUACUUGGUUCUGCUCCCGAGCCUGGUUUUCUCACGUGGGCCCAUUUGACGAGGGCGGGCGGGGUGUCCCCGAGGACCUGCUGUUCUUCUACGAGCACCUCAGGAAGGGCGGCGGGGUUGUCCGUGUGGACCAGAGCCUCCUCCUUUACCGCUACCACCCCGGCGCAGCCACACACUCCGUCCUCGAGUACGCGGCCUGGCCGGGCAUGGUGGGGUGCCCAAAGCCCUGGCUGGUCAGCAGGGCAGAUGCAGUGACCCCAGUCUGGUCUCUGCCCCGAGACAGGGAAUCUGGGAGCUGGGCCGUCCCUGGAGGUUGUCGGGGGCCUGGGGACCAGCGCUUCCCCAGGGCAAGGAAGGCCAGCAUCUGUCCUUCCUGAGGUCUUGUCCCCACUGUGAGCUGACAGGGCUCGGGUGACCCUGCCCCACCAGCUGCCGUGGUGACAGGGGGCUGCACAUGCACCUGCUUCUCCCCACCGAGGGGGCUGCGGGGACACAGGCUGGGCCACACCCCCUACGUCCUACGUGGGGCAUCCCCCGGGCCCCAAGGCCAGAGCCACCACGUCCCGGGUGCACUUGAGGCUGACUGCCAGGACAGGGCAGGAGACGGCGGGAAUGCAGGCGGAGGGAAGCAAGGGAGGGCGUGUUCUUACUGCUUUAUUUUGAAGUGUGCGUGCACACGUGUAUGUGUCCAUGUGCGCACGUAUGUGGCUGCUGCAUUUCACAUGACUACAAGCAUGCGUCCCCUUUGGUGCCAUCGCAAUGCUGCCCACUUAUGGGGACGGACAGCGGGGCCCUGAAGAAGGUCUGUGAUCAAGGGCUCCUCUGGAUGGAAAGAGCUUGGCGCAGAGACGUGUGUCUGUGCUUCUGGAAGGGGGCAGGCUCGUCCUCCCCCUGGAGGAGGCAACACUCGUUGGGAGGUGCGGCUUCUCAGCUUCUGCCCUGGGAGGUCUAAGGCCACUGACGCUGAGGGAGCGGCGUCCACUGCCGAGGGGCUGUGAUGCUUGCUCGUGCAGGUGCCGGGGAGAGGGGGCCGGACUGCAGCGUCCCUGAAGCUGAGGCGUAGCUUCUUUGUCUUCCAGCGCUGAGCAGAACAACUCGGUUUCUCUUCUGUUAAACCUGAAUUUUGAUACAGUAGCAUGGUGAGGUGUCAUGGUUCGGGAGUUCACUGUCAUGCACUUGAUUCAGUGCAAAUGGGAUUUGCACACAUGGGGCAAAGGUCAUCUUAGAGGGGACGUAACAAUCCUAAAUGUGUCUAUUCCUAAUCACAGAAUUUGAAAAUAAGUGAAGCAAAAACUGACAGGAAGAAAGGGAGAAACACAAAUUCACAGUUACAGGUGGAGACUUUAGUUCUCCUUUCUCAGGGGCUGAUCGAAGUAGCGGGAGUCUGUAAGGAGACAGAAGAUUUGAACAGCACUGUUACCAGCGUGACGGAACAGACAUUUACAGAGCACUGCAUUCGACUGCAGAGAACCUGUUCUUUUAAAGUGCAAGUAGACAGUACUUUGGGCCAAUAAACAAACCUGAGUAAACUUUAAAUGACAGAUCGUGCAAGAUACGUUUUACAACGUAGAAAUCAUUAACACAUCUUAAAAAUCCAAAAUACUUGGAAAUAAAGCAACCAAGAGUAAAAAAUCACAAAGGAUAUUAGAAAAAAACUAAGUUGAUGACAACAGUACUUCGGAAUUUAUGAAAUGUAGCUAAAGCAGGAUUUAUUGUAAAAUUUUACAACUUUAAAAACAUGUUACAGAAGAAACUAUAGAGUCAUCUAUGUCUCCACGUUUAAAAGUCACUAAAAGUAAACUCAAACAGCAGGAGAGAAAGGAAGAACUGAAGAUGAUGAAACUGAAAAAAACCAGCAAAGCUAAGAACUGGUUUGAAAUGAAAUCAGUACGAUUGAUAAACCUUUAAUGAGACUGACUUUGAAAAGGAAACACAGUUACCAAAUUACCAAUAUAUUGAAAUGAAAGAGGGGGCAUCGCAAGUCCAACAAACAUUUAAAGUAUAAAUAAUAAUUGAAAAUAGAUCCACAAUUUAAAACCUUGAUAAAGCCAAGUCACAUGGCUUUACUGAUACAUUCUCUCAAAAACGUAAGGAGGAAAUGAUACCAACAUAAGUUCUCUCAGGAAACAGAUGGAGAGAAAGAUCUACUGGGCGUUGGGAAGGAGCUCCCGACUCGCCUCACGAGACCAGCGUGACUGACACCGAAGUGCCACCAGAAUAUUACAGGGAAAUAAAAGUACAGACCAGUAUCCCUUCUGACAAUAGGUGCAGAAAUCACUCAUGAAAUAUUGCCAGGUCAAGUUCAGAAGCGUCUAUGAAAAAAUAAUACCUCUAUCUGGUUUAACAUUCAAAAAUCAAUUGGUACAAUUCACUGCAGUAACAGAAGAAAGAAGAAUCACGUGAUCAACCACCAACGCAGAGAAAGCACCUGACAGAAUUCAGUGCCCAUUUGUGAUUCUGCAAAACUCUCAGCAAACUAUAAAUGGAAGGAGACGUCCUCACCCUGAUGGUAUCUACACAAACCUACAUCAGCCUCGUACCUCGUGUUUAAAGACAGAAAGCCUUCCCUUCUAAGGUCAGGAGGAAGCAAGGUGAAAGUCACUGCUUCCCUUCAGCACUGCAGUGGAGGUCAGUGCAGCAAGACAAGGAAAAGGAGAGGCACAGGCUCGAGAAGUGGAGUGAAACUCGCGUCACUUGUGGGCGGCGUGACUGUGUUUCUCAAGAAAUUAGAAACAGUAACUUAGCAAGUCUUCUAGGAUGUAAGUUUAUAGACCUGCAGCAAACAAUGGAAAAACGCAGUUUAAAACAAUGUGCAAUGGCAUCGGGUCAGUUUAACAAGGCACAUGUAUGUUCUCUACAACCUGCCAAAAAGUGCUGCGGGAAAUUACAGAAAACCUGUGAUGCAGACGGAGAGAGAGGCCACCCUCACGGGAGGAGAGACUCAGUAUUGGCAACGUCACUUCUCCCCAGACUGGUCUGUAGACUCAGUGCAGUAAAAGUCCCAGCUGGCUUCUUUGUAGAAACUGAUAAUCUGAUUUUAAAAUUUACAUGAAAAUCACAAGGCCCAGAAUGGUCUAAACCACCUUGAAAACAACGAAGUUUGAGGACUCACCGUGCCCGACUCUAAGCCGUGCUCUGGAGCUACAGCGAUCAGGAGCGUGGAAUGACAGCGCAAAGACAGAUCAGUGAAGCGGAGCAGAGUCCACAGACUCAAGAUUCAAGAUUGGUUUUCAACAGUCUCCAAAGGCAUUCAACAGAAAAAGAAAAAUAUUUUCAAAAGCAUAUCCAUAUGGAAAAGAAGAAUCUCAUACCCUAGAGAGAAAGUAACUUUAGAAGGCUUAGACAGAAACACAGAAGCAGCGAAAAUGUACAGCUCCUGGGAGAAAGCAUAGGGGAGCAUCUCCACAGCGUGGGGACAAGUGAACAGUCAGCAGAGACGAGACCAGAAUCUGUAACCACUUACCAACCGGACUUCAUCAACGUUAAAAACUUCUGCUCACAAGAAUACACCAUUAGGAAAAUGGGUACGCAAGCCACAGACUGGAGGAAAGCAGCCACAAGUCUGUGCAUCUCACAGAGGGCUAGCGUGGAGGGCACGUGAAGAACCUGUAUCGCCCAAGACAAAAACAAGCAAAAUACUUCACGGGGGGCGACACUUCACACAGCGAUACCGCAUCAACAAUCAGAGACACAGUUCUACUCUGCACGCCUAAUGGAAGGGCCGACGUCAACGUCUGCAGCCCCAGACUGCGGCGAGGAUGUGGAGCUACCUCCGGACGCUCGCACGUCGUCCUCAGAAGAGGCGGCAAUGCAGCCACUCUGGAAGACUGGGGGCCUUAUUUCAUUAAUUACACUGACCCCUGCCCUCUGACCCAGCAAUUCCACGUGUAGGCGCAUAUCCUGGAGAAGUGAAUGCACUGCUCAGCGCUCACUGUCAGCAGCCGAGAGUGGAAGAGCCCAGAUGCCCCUCCAUGGGCAACGGGCGAGCCCCCUCCGCACGCAGAGCCUGCAGAAUGGCGAUUAAUUGCCAAUCUACGGUUAGAAGGAGAAGCCAGACACAAAAGCACGCACGCUGCGGCUUCCACUUACAGCAGGCUCCCCAGCAGGCAGCGCUGGUGCACGGUGCACGGGAGAGAUGGGCUUCCUCUGGGGAAGGGGGACCUUCUGGGGGGUGCAGGUGUUACAUGGACGCGUACGUCUGUCAUAACUGACCGACCCUGUGUGCACUGAACGUCCUUGCUCCUACCCCCUGUAAACUGCCUGCAUUCGAGUUACUAAGAUACUGGCAAAUGCUUCUUCAAAGGAGUAACCACAUUCCCACCAUCCGUAAAUGGAACGGGAAACUGGGUGAACAGAGUACAAAGGUGGUUACGGGCCCGCAGAGCCAAGAAAAGCCAGGACGCCUGGAACCCCUCCGGGCCUCCCACACGCACCCUCACUUUGAGCUCCUGGGAAGCAAGGUGAGGUGAGGCGGCUCCGUGAGGGCCUGGUGGUGGCCUCCUCCCGGGUGUCGGGGCCCGGCAGCUGGCCAGAGAGCUGAGCCACACACCGCAUCCUGUUUGCAUGUGAUUGUCUUUCAUGUUGAGACCUUUCUCUCUUUUUGCAGCGUGAGGUUUUGCCACCCACAAGGUAGAAGAAGUGAUCUCAUGUCAGUUUCUGUGUCGGAUUAAAGUCUUUGCGCAGCAAAACCCCACAGAGCAGACCACCAUCUGGACCCACCGAGUCCGCUUCCUGGAGGAGCGGGCCCUGCCGC